CUUGGUGGCCAUAGCGUCCGUGACCCACCCGAUCCCAUCUCGAACUCGGCCGUGAAACCGGACAGCGCCGAUGGUACUAUCGCCUAAG
rnacentral:rRNA from 1 species